rnacentral:sRNA from 1 species
AACAGUUGUGUGACGCCAUUUGGCCAAGCUUGCGGGGCUUCAAAAUGCAGUUUGAGAGGACAGGAAGCAGAUUUGGAGCAAGAGGUGGUGGUGGCCUUCCCCCGAAGAAAUUUGGUAAUCCUGGGGAGCGUUUGCGUAAAAAAAAGUGGGAUUUGAGUGAGCUCCCCAAGUUUGAGAAAAAUUUUUAUGUGGAACAUCCGGAAGUAGCAAGGCUGACACCAUAUGAGGUUGAUGAGCUACGCCGAAAGAAAGAGAUUACAGUGAGGGGGGGAGAUGUUUGUCCUAAACCCGUGUUUGCCUUCCAUCAUGCUAACUUCCCACAAUAUGUAAUGGAUGUGUUGAUGGAUCAGCACUUUACAGAACCAACUCCAAUUCAGUGCCAGGGAUUUCCAUUGGCUCUUAGUGGCCGGGAUAUGGUGGGCAUUGCUCAGACUGGCUCUGGCAAGACGUUGGCGUAUCUCCUGCCUGCAAUUGUUCAUAUUAACCACCAGCCAUACUUGGAAAGGGGAGAUGGCCCAAUCUGUCUAGUUCUGGCACCUACCAGAGAGCUUGCCCAGCAAGUACAGCAGGUGGCCGAUGACUAUGGCAAAUGUUCUAGAUUGAAGAGUACUUGUAUUUAUGGAGGUGCUCCUAAAGGUCCCCAGAUUCGAGACUUGGAAAGAGGUGUUGAGAUCUGCAUAGCCACUCCUGGACGUCUGAUAGAUUUCCUGGAGUCAGGAAAGACAAAUCUUCGCCGAUGUACUUACCUUGUAUUGGACGAAGCUGACAGAAUGCUUGAUAUGGGGUUUGAACCCCAGAUCCGUAAAAUUGUUGACCAAAUCAGGCCUGAUAGGCAGACAUUGAUGUGGAGUGCAACCUGGCCAAAAGAAGUAAGACAGCUUGCAGAGGAUUUCCUUCGUGAUUACACCCAGAUCAACGUAGGCAAUCUGGAGUUGAGUGCCAACCACAACAUCCUCCAGAUAGUGGAUGUCUGCAUGGAAAGUGAAAAAGACCACAAGUUGAUCCAACUAAUGGAAGAAAUAAUGGCUGAAAAGGAAAACAAAACAAUAAUAUUUGUGGAGACAAAGAGACGCUGUGAUGAUCUUACUCGAAGGAUGCGCAGAGACGGUUGGCCAGCUAUGUGUAUCCAUGGAGACAAGAGUCAACCAGAAAGAGAUUGGGUACUUAAUGAGUUCCGUUCUGGAAAGGCACCCAUCCUUAUUGCUACAGAUGUAGCCUCCCGUGGGCUAGAAGCUUUGAUAUCAGCUGCAGAUCACUCAAUACAUGGCCGAGACAAAUCUACAUUGGCCGGAAGCAGCUCUAGAUGAGCCUCUUGGCUAGACUUAGUCCCUCCUAAUUAGUGAUUGGAGAUUCA